rnacentral:tRNA from 1 species
AUUCUUAUAGUUUAAGUGAAAAACAUAAUAUUGAAAAUAUUAAAAUAUUUUUUAAGGAUA